rnacentral:rRNA from 1 species
UACGAAGGGUGCUAGCGUUGUUCGGAAUCACUGGGCGUAAAGCGCGCGUAGGCGGCGAUACAAGUCAGAGGUGAAAGCCCGUGGCUCAACCACGGAAUUGCCUUUGAAACUGCAUUGCUGGAGUGUCGGAGGGGAUAGCGGAAUUGCUAAUGUAGAGGUGAAAUUCGUAGAUAUUAGCAGGAACACCGGUGGCGAAGGCGGCUAUCUGGACGACAACUGACGCUGAGGCGCGAAAGCGUGGGGAGCAAACAGG